rnacentral:rRNA from 1 species
GAGGGGUAACAGGGUGCUUGCACCGCUGACGACCGGCGCACGGGUGCGUAACGCGUAUACAACCUACCUCUUGGCGGGGAAUAGCCCAGGGAAACUUGGAUUAAUGCCCCAUGGUAUAUUGGAUUCACCUGAAUUUAAUAUUAAACAUUUAUGGUCAUUAGAUGGGUAUGCGUCCUAUUAGUUAGAUGGUAAGGUAACGGCUUACCAUGGCAUCGAUAGGUAGGGGUCCUGAGAGGGAGGUCCCCCACACUGGUACUGAGACACGGACCAGACUCCUACGGGAGGCAGCAGUGAGGAAUAUUGGACAAUGGGCGAGAGCCUGAUCCAGCCAUGCCGCGUGCAGGAAGACUGCCCUAUGGGUUGUAAACUGCUUUUACAGAGGAAGAACCACCUCCACGUGUGGGGGUUUGACGGUACUCUGCGAAUAAGGAUCGGCUAACUCCGUGCCAGCAGCCGCGGUAAUACGGAGGAUCCAAGCGUUAUCCGGAAUCAUUGGGUUUAAAGGGUCCGUAGGCGGGACAAUCAGUCAGUGGUGAAAGUCUGCAGCUCAACUGUAGAACUGCCAUUGAUACUGUUGUCCUUGAGUUAUUAUGAAGUGGUUAGAAUGUGUAGUGUAGCGGUGAAAUGCUUAGAUAUUACACAGAAUACCGAUUGCGAAGGCAGAUCACUAAUAAUAUACUGACGCUGAUGGACGAAAGCGUAGGUAGCGAACAGGAUUAGAUACCCUGGUAGUCUACGCCGUAAACGAUGGUUACUAGCUGUCCGGCCUAAUUGAGGGCUGGGUGGUUAAGCGAAAGUGAUAAGUAACCCACCUGGGGAGUACGUUCGCAAGAAUGAAACUCAAAGGAAUUGACGGGGGCCCGCACAAGCGGUGGAGCAUGUGGUUUAAUUCGAUGAUACGCGAGGAACCUUACCAGGGCUUAAAUGUAGUCUGACAGGGCUGGAAACAGCUUUUUCUUCGGACAGAUUACAAGGUGCUGCAUGGUUGUCGUCAGCUCGUGCCGUGAGGUGUCAGGUUAAGUCCUAUAACGAGCGCAACCCCUGUGGUUAGUUGCCAGCGAGUCAUGUCGGGAACUCUAGCCAGACUGCCGGUGCAAACCGCGAGGAAGGUGGGGAUGACGUCAAAUCAUCACGGCCCUUACGUCCUGGGCCACACACGUGCUACAAUGGUAGGGACAGAGAGCAGCCACUUUGCGAGAAGGAGCGAAUCUACAAACCCUAUCACAGUUCGGAUCGCAGUCUGCAACUCGACUGCGUGAAGCUGGAAUCGCUAGUAAUCGCAUAUCAGCCAUGAUGCGU